rnacentral:lncRNA from 1 species
UUCCUUUUCCGCACGGAGUGCUACCAUGUCAAUCGGAAUCUCAGGGAUGAAGCUCUUUGAGGCCUUGGCAUGAAAGUCGUCCUUUGCCAAUUUCCUUGAGGCAUCAUAUAUAGGCUGUUGGGAUGUGCCUUCCGAUCUCUUUUGCUUCUUACGAGCCAUAUGACAUGCAAAGAAUACAAGAGAACAAUCAAAUAUAUCCUACAUAUGCCAGUCGGAUGGGUACUCACACUUCACCACCUGAUGGAACCAAAUAAUCUCCCUCAUUUAUUCCAUUCACACACUAUGCCAAACCCCCAACUAGUAAGGUUUUCAAGGUUACAACCUCCACAAUGGUCCCACAACUUUCUUACAAAUUUUGGCAUACAACACACCACACUUACUCCCUCAAGUGAUUCAUGUUAAAUACAACACCACGAUUCACUAAAUACAACAUACCACAACCUAGGAUAGGCACAAAAUGCCUCAAAAUAGCACCACAAGCCCCAAAGUUUCGGCCAAAAAGGGCCCUCCACCAAACUACACCGUAAUUUUUAUUCCUAGGCCUCCAAAUAAUCUAAACAAACCCCACAAUUGAAGUAUAAUAAAUACCCAACCAUUUUAGCAGCAAACAAAUCAAGAAGAAGCAAAUACAACAAUAAAAAUGGAGAAGAAGCAAAAAUUGAAUGAAAAUAUACACUAUUCCUACCUAGGGUUUAACUAAACUAGUUUAGACUAAAUUACACCAAUUAGAAGAAGAAAUAGAAUCAAAAAGAAAAAAAUAAUUACUUGAUGAAGGUUAGAACAGGUAGUUAUUAGUGAGAUGAGCUCGGGGAAGAUAAUAAUGGAGUUUGGGUAAGAGAGAGGGG